UACGUAGGCAGCAAGCGUUGUUCGGAGUUACUGGGCGUAAAGGGUGUGUAGGCGGUUCUUUAAGUUUGGGGUGAAAUCUCCCGGCUCAACUGGGAGGGUGCGCCGAAUACUGAGGGACUAGAGUACGGGAGAGGAAAGUGGAAUUCCUGGUGUAGCGGUGAAAUGCGUAGAUAUCAGGAGGAACACCGGUGGUGUAGACGGCUCUCUGGACCGUAACUGACGCUGAGACACGAAAGCGUGGGUAGCAAACAGG
rnacentral:rRNA from 1 species